rnacentral:rRNA from 1 species
AACGAACGCUGGCGGCAUGCCUAACACAUGCAAGUCGAACGAGAACUUCGGGCCUAGUGGCGGACGGGUGCGUAACGCGUGGGAACCUGCCCUUGGGUUCGGAAUACCUCCCCGAAAGGGGUGCUAAUACCGGAUGAUCUCUUCGGGGCAAAGAUUUAUCGCCUUUGGAUGGGCCCGCGUUGGAUUAGGUAGUUGGUAGGGUAAAAGCCUACCAAGGCGACGAUCCAUAGCUGGUCUGAGAGGAUGAUCAGCCACACUGGGACUGAGACACGGCCCAGACUCCUACGGGAGGCAGCAGUGGGGAAUAUUGGACAAUGGGGGAAAGCCUGAUCCAGCAAUGCCGCGUGAGUGAUGAAGGCCUUAGGGUUGUAAAGCUCUUUUAGCCGGGAUGAUAAUGACGGUACCGGGAGAAGAAGCCCCGGCUAACUCCGUG